rnacentral:rRNA from 1 species
GAUGAACGCUGGCGGCGUGCCUCAAACAUGCAAGUCGAGCGGGGCUAUGUAAUAUCGCAAGGUAGAACAUAGCCUAGCGGCGAACGGGUGAGUAACACGUGGGUAACCUGCCUGGAAGACAGGGAUAACGAUUCGAAAGGGUCGCUAAUACCUGAUAAUAUCCUUUUCAUCGCAUGGUGAUAGGAAGAAAGGGGAAACCCGCUUUCAGAUGGGCCCGCGUCCCAUCAGCUAGUUGGUAAGGUAAAGGCUUACCAAGGCGACGACGGGUAGCCGGUCUGAGAGGAUGUACGGCCACACUGGGACUGAGAUACGGCCCAGACUCCUACGGGAGGCAGCAGUUGGGAAUCUUAGGCAAUGGACGAAAGUCUGACCUAGCGACGCCGCGUGAGGGAAGAAGGCCUUCGGGUUGUAAACCUCUGUCAUGGGGGAAGAAGUAAGUGACGGUACCCCAAGAGGAAGCCCCUGCUAACUACGUG